rnacentral:rRNA from 1 species
UGGGGAAUAUUGGACAAUGGGCGAAAGCCUGAUCCAGCCAUGCCGCGUGUGUGAAGAAGGUCUUCGGAUUGUAAAGCACUUUAAGUUGGGAGGAAGGGCAUUAACCUAAUACGUUAGUGUCUUGACGUUACCGACAGAAUAAGCACCGGCUAACUCUGUGCCAGCAGCCGCGGUAAUACAGAGGGUGCAAGCGUUAAUCGGAAUUACUGGGCGUAAAGCGCGCGUAGGUGGUUUGUUAAGUUGGAUGUGAAAGCCCCGGGCUCAACCUGGGAACUGCAUCCAAAACUGGCAAGCUAGAGUACGGUAGAGGGUGGUGGAAUUUCCUGUGUAGCGGUGAAAUGCGUAGAUAUAGGAAGGAACACCAGUGGCGAAGGCGACCACCUGGACUGAUACUGACACUGAGGUGCGAAAGCGUGGGGAGCAAACA